GCUGUGAUGGCCGAGUGGUGAAGGCGUUGGACUUGAAAUCCAAUGGGGUUUCCCCGCGCAGGUUCAAAUCCUGCUCACAGCG
rfam:Aptenodytes forsteri contig30235, whole genome shotgun sequence.